UACGGGGGGGGGCAAGCGUUGUUCGGAAUACUGGGCGUAAAGCGUGCGCAGGCGGUUAUUUAAGUCAGGUGUGAAAGCCCUGGGCUUAACCUAGGAAUUGCGCUUGAGACUGGAUAGCUUGGAGUGCGGCAGAGGGAGGUGGAAUUCCACGUGUAGCAGUGAAAUGCGUAGAGAUGUGGAGGAACACCGAUGGCGAAGGCAGCCUCCUGGGCCAGCACUGACGCUCAUGCACGAAAGCGUGGGGAGCAAACAGG
rnacentral:rRNA from 1 species